rnacentral:ncRNA from 1 species
AUAAAGUUUGAUUCUAGCUUUAAGAUUAGCUUAUUCAUUGAUCUAUAUGGUUAAUUAUUAAAUUGGUUUUGUUGUUCCAGUAGUAAAAAUUAAAUUUAUAAAAGAUUUUGAUUUAGAAAUUGAAUAUUAAAGUAGAUUAAUAUUUGUGCCAGCAUUCGCGGUUACACAAUUUACUUAAGUUAAUUUCGUUGGUUUUUAAUUUAAUUUUUAGUGUGGUUUAAGUAUAAAAUUAUUUAGGUGGAAUUUAUAAUUUAUUGUAAAGUCUAGCUUAAUUUAAUUGAGAUAUUUCUAUAAAUAAACUAGGAUUAGAUACCCUAUUAUUUUAAAUGUAAAAUUUAUUUAGAAUGGUAAUAGUUAUGAUCUUUAAAGCUCAAAGAAUUUGGCGGUAAGAUAUCUAUUUAGAGGAAUCUGUGUAUUAAUUGAUAUUCCACAAUAAUUCACACCUUUUAAUUUUAUUUGUAUACCGCUAUAUUAUAGGGAAUGUUAUUGAAGUAAACUUUCUUUAAUUAAUUUAAUUUUAUAUUAGGUCAAGGUGCAGUUUUUUAAAGGUUUACAUGGAUUACUUUUGUUUUAAGUAUUAGGAUUUUGAUCUUAAAGAUUAAUAUGAAUUAGGAUUUAACAGUAAGUUUGAAUUAAUUUAUUUAACUGAAUUUUGCUAUGUUUUAUGUACAUAUCGCCCGUCACUCCCAAUUAAGUUAGGAUAAGUCGUAACAAAGUAAUCUUACCGGAAGGUGAGGUUAGAAUAAACAA